rnacentral:rRNA from 1 species
UACGUAGGCAGCAAGCGUUGUUCGGAGUUACUGGGCGUAAAGGGUGUGUAGGCGGUUGUUUAAGUUUGGUGUGAAAUCUCCCGGCUCAACCGGGAGGGUGCGCCGAAUACUGAAUAACUAGAGUGCGGGAGAGGAAAGUGGAAUUCCUGGUGUAGCGGUGAAAUGCGUAGAUAUCAGGAGGAACACCGGUGGUGUAGACGGCUUUCUGGACCGUAACUGACGCUGAGGCGCGAAAGCGUGGGGAGCGAACCGG